GCAAGUCGUGCGAGAAAAUAUCUUCGGAUAUGAGUAGAGCGGCGAACGGGUGAGUAACGCGUAGGAAUGUACCUAGUAGAAGGGGAUAGCCCGGGGAAACUCGGAUUAAUACCGUAUACCUCCUUUGGGAGAAAGAAGGCCUCUCUUUGAAGCUUUCGCUAUUAGAUCAGCCUGCGUAAGAUUAGCUUGUUGGUGAGGUAAUGGCUCACCAAGGCUACGAUCUUUAGCUGGUCUGAGAGGACGAUCAGCCACACUGGGACUGAGACACGGCCCAGACUCCUACGGGAGGCAGCAGUGGGGAAUAUUGGACAAUGGGCGCAAGCCUGAUCCAGCCAUACCGCGUGUGUGAAGAAGGCCUUCGGGUUGUAAAGCACUUUAAGCAGGGAGAAAAAGAUAUAGGUUAAUACCCUAUAUCCGUGAUGUUACCUGCGGAAUAAGCACCGGCUAAUUCCGUGCCAGCAGCCGCGGUAAUACGGAAGGUGCAAGCGUUAAUCGGAAUUACUGGGCGUAAAGCGCGCGUAGGUGGUUUUUAAGUUGGAUGUGAAAGCCCUGGGCUCAACCUAGGAACUGCAUCCAAAACUGAAUAACUAGAGUACGAUAGAGGGAGGUAGAAUUCAUAGUGUAGCGGUGGAAUGCGUAGAUAUUAUGAAGAAUACCAGUGGCGAAGGCGGCCUCCUGGAUCUGUACUGACACUGAGGUGCGAAAGCGUGGGUAGCGAACAGGAUU
rnacentral:rRNA from 1 species